GACGUAGGGCGCGAGCGUUGUCCGGAUUUAUUGGGCGUAAAGAGCUCGUAGGCGGCUUGUCGCGUCGACUGUGAAAACCCGCGGCUCAACCGCGGCCUGCAGUCGAUACGGGCAGGCUAGAGUUCGGUAGGGGAGACUGGAAUUCCUGGUGUAGCGGUGAAAUGCGCAGAUAUCAGGAGGAACACCGAUGGCGAAGGCAGGUCUCUGGGCCGUUACUGACGCUGAGGAGCGAAAGCGUGGGGAGCGAACAGG
rnacentral:rRNA from 1 species